CCAACAGCGUAUAUUAAAGUUGUUGCAGUUAAAAAGCUCGUAGUUGAAUUGAGGGAUUGACGUGACGGUCGUGCCUUACGGGGUAUGAAUGAACUGUUGCUGUUGAUUUUUCUCACCUUCUGGAGAAGCUUGAUGUCCUUAAUUGGGUGUCUUGCGGAUCCAGGACCUUUACCUUGAAAAAAUUAGAGUGUUUAAAGCAGGCAUUUUGCUCGAAUACAUUAGCUUGGAAUAAUAGAAUAGGACGGCAUGGUUCUAUUUUGUUGGUUUCUAGGAUCACCGUAAUGAGUAAAAGGGUUAGUUGGGGGCAUUAGUAUUCAAUUGUCAGAGGUGAAAUACUUGGAUUUGUUGAAGACUAAUUACUGCGAAAGCAUUUGCCAAGGAUGUUUUCAUUAAUCAAGAACGAAAGUUAGGGGAUCGAAGACGAUCAGAUACCGUCGUAGUCUUAACCAAUAAACUAUGUCGACUAGGAAUCAGACGAUGUUAAUUUUUUAAUGAUUCGUUUGGCACCUUACG
rnacentral:rRNA from 1 species